UACGGGGGGGGCAAGCGUUGUUCGGAAUUACUGGGCGUAGAGGGCGCGUAGGCGGCUCGCUAAGUCGGAUGUGAAAACUCUGGGCUCAACCCAGAGCCUGCAUUCGAAACUGACGAGCUGGAGUUCUGGAGGGGAAAGCGGAAUUCCUGGUGUAGCGGUGAAAUGCGUAGAUAUCAGGAGGAAUACCGGUGGCGAAAGCGGCAUCCUGGCUCAUAGUUGACGCUCAGACACGAGAGCAUGGGGAGCGAACGGG
rnacentral:rRNA from 1 species